UGAAAACGUUUUAAAAUAAAGACGUUCUUGAAUUUCGUUUUUUUGAAAAAGAAUUGCCAAAAUUAAUUUUGGAAGGAGAUUAUUCUUCUUCAAGUUAACGAAAAAAAAUAUUAAAGGAGGAAGAACAAGA
rnacentral:sRNA from 19 species